AAAUUGAAGAGUUUGAUCAUGGCUCAGAUUGAACGCUGGCGGCAGGCCUAACACAUGCAAGUCGAACGGUAACAGGAAGCAGCUUGCUGCUUUGCUGACGAGUGGCGGACGGGUGAGUAAUGUCUGGGAAACUGCCUGAUGGAGGGGGAUAACUACUGGAAACGGUGGCUAAUACCGCAUAACGUCGCAAGACCAAAGAGGGGGACCUUCGGGCCUCUUGCCAUCAGAUGUGCCCAGAUGGGAUUAGCUAGUUGGUGAGGUAACGGCUCACCAAGGCGACGAUCCCUAGCUGGUCUGAGAGGAUGGCCAGCCACACUGGAACUGAGACACGGUCCAGACUCCUACGGGAGGCAGCAGUGGGGAAUAUUGCACAAUGGGCGCAAGCCUGAUGCAGCCAUGCCGCGUGUAUGAAGAAGGCCUUCGGGUUGUAAAGUACUUUCAGCGGGGAGGAAGGUGUUGUGGUUAAUAACCUCAGCAAUUGACGUUACCCGCAGAAGAAGCACCGGCUAACUCCGUGCCAGCAGCCGCGGUAAUACGGAGGGUGCAAGCGUUAAUCGGAAUUACUGGGCGUAAAGCGCACGC
rnacentral:rRNA from 1 species